rnacentral:rRNA from 1 species
UACGAAGGGGGCUAGCGUUGCUCGGAAUCACUGGGCGUAAAGGGUGCGUAGGCGGGUCUUUAAGUCAGGGGGGAAAUCCUGGAGCUCAACUCCAGAACUGCCUUUGAUACUGAAGAUCUUGAGUUCGGGAGAGGUGAGUGGAACUGCGAGUGUAGAGGUGAAAUUCGUAGAUAUUCGCAAGAACACCAGUGGCGAAGGCGGCUCACUGGCCCGAUACUGACGCUGAGGCACGAAAGCGUGGGGAUCAAACAGG